rnacentral:rRNA from 1 species
UGGGGAAUAUUGGACAAUGGGCGCAAGCCUGAUCCAGCAAUGCCGCGUGGAUGAAGAAGGUCUUCGGAUUGUAAAGUCCUUUCGGCGGGGACGAUGAUGACGGUACCCGCAGAAGAAGCCCCGGCUAACUUCGUGCCAGCAGCCGCGGUAAUACGAAGGGGGCUAGCGUUGCUCGGAAUGACUGGGCGUAAAGGGCGCGUAGGUGGAUUGGUUUGUCGGGCGUGAAAUUCCUGGGCUUAACCUGGGGGCUGCGUUCGAGACGGCUGGUCUAGAGUGGGGAAGAGGGUCGUGGAAUUCCCAGUGUAGAGGUGAAAUUCGUAGAUAUUGGGAAGAACACCGGUGGCGAAGGCGGCGACCUGGUCCUUUACUGACGCUGAGGCGCGAAAGCGUGGGGAGCAAACAG